GAUGAACGCUGGCGGCGUGCCUAAUACAUGCAAGUCGAGCGAACAGACGAGGAGCUUGCUCCUCUGACGUUAGCGGCGGACGGGUGAGUAACACGUGGAUAACCUACCUAUAAGACUGGGAUAACUUCGGGAAACCGGAGCUAAUACCGGAUAAUAUAUUGAACCGCAUGGUUCAAUAGUGAAAGACGCUUUUGCUGUCACUUAUAGAUGGAUCCACGCCGCAUUAGCUAGUUGGUAAGGUAACGGCUUACCAAGGCAACGAUGCGUAGCCGACCUGAGAGGGUGAUCGGCCACACUGGAACUGAGACACGGUCCAGACUCCUACGGGAGGCAGCAGUAGGGAAUCUUCCGCAAUGGGCGAAAGCCUGACGGAGCAACGCCGCGUGAGUGAUGAAGGUCUUCGGAUCGUAAAACUCUGUUGUUAGGGAAGAACAAAUGUGUAAGUAACUAUGCACGUCUUGACGGUACCUAAUCAGAAAGCCACGGCUAACUACGUG
rnacentral:rRNA from 1 species